AAUCAGUUAUGGUUCCUUGGAUCGUACUUUACUACUUGGAUAACUGUGGCAAUUCUAGAGCUAAUACAUGCAGCAGAGCUCCGACCGCUUCGGCGGGACGAGCGCUUUUAUUAGACCAAAACCGAUCGUUGCGCUCUCUCGGGCGCGGCGUCUCCGUGGUGACUCUGUAUAACUUUGGGCUGAUCGCACGGGCUCGUCCCGGCGACGUAUCUUUCAAGUGUCUGCCUUAUCAACUGUCGAUGGUAGGUUACGCGCCUACCAUGGUCGUAACGGGUAACGGGGGAUCAGGGUUCGAUUCCGGAGAGGGAGCCUGAGAAACGGCUACCACAUCCAAGGAAGGCAGCAGGCGCGCAAAUUACCCACUCCCGGCACGGGGAGGUAGUGACGAAAAAUAACAAUACGGGACUCUUUUGAGACCCCGUAAUUGGAAUGAGUACACUCUAAAUCCUUUAACGAUGAACUAUUGGAGGUAAAGUCUGGUGCCAGCAUCCGCGGUAACUCCAGCUCCAAUAGCGUAUAUUAAAGUUGUUGCGGUUAAAAAGCUCGUAGUUGGAUCUCAGUUUGCUCGCGGGCGGUCCGGCGCGAGCCGGCCUACUGCCCGCGGGCGACCGGCCGCCGGUUUCCGCGGAUGAUCUUCACCGGUUGUCCGUGGUGACCGGCAAGUUUACUUUGAAAAAAUUAGAGUGCUCAAAGCAGGCUGCUACCGCCUGAAUAAUGGUGCAUGGAAUAAUGGAAUAGGACCUCGGUUCUAUUUUGUUGGUUUUCGGAACGCGAGGUAAUGAUUAAGAGGGACAGACGGGGGCAUUCGUAUUGCGACGCUAGAGGUGAAAUUCUUGGACCGCCGCACGACGAACUACUGCGAAAGCAUUUGCCAAGAAUGUUUCCAUUAAUCAAGAACGAAAGUCAGAGGUUCGAAGGCGAUCAGAUACCGCCCUAGUUCUAACCAUAAACGAUGCCAGCCAGCGAUCCGUGUGCGUUCCUCAAAUGACGCGCCGGGCAGCUUCCGGGGAACCAAAGCUUUUGGGUUCCGGGGGGAGUAUGGUUGCAAAGCUGAAACUUAAAGGAAUUGACGGAAGCGCACACAAGAAAUGGGGCCUGCGGCUUAAUUUGACUCAACACGGUGCAACUCAUCCGACCCGGACACAGGAAGGAUUGACAGAUUAAGAGCUCUUUCUUGAUUCUGUGACAGGUGGUGCAUGGCCGUAUGUAGUUGGUGGAGUGAUUUGUCUGCUUUAUUGCGAUAACGAGCGAGACUCUAGCCUACUAAAUAGACCGCCGAUCUCGUUACAGUCUGGCGGUUCUUCUUAGAGGGACAAGCGGUGUUCAGCCGCACGAAACUGAGCAAAUACAGGUCAGGAUGCCCUUAGAUGUUCGGGGCCGCACGCGCGCCACAUUGAAGGAAUCAGCGUGUGCUUUCCCUCUCCGGUAGGAGUGGGUAACCCGUUGAAACUCCUUCGUGCUAGGGAUAGGAAAUUGUAAUUGUUUUCCUUGAACGAGGAAUUCCCAGUAAGCAUUGAGUCAUCAGCUCGUGUUGAUUACGUCCCUGCGCUUUGUGCACACCGCCCGUCGCUAUUAUCGAUGAAUUUUGGAGUGAGAUCAUCGGACUGACUAAGUUUCUAGGCGAAUAUGUUUGGAGACUGUGAUGGAAAGAUGACCGAACUUGAAUAUUUAGAGAAAAUA
rnacentral:rRNA from 1 species